AUUGCGUCAUCUCACAAACCACGCAGUGUUACGAUUUUGUCAGCUUGGGCUCUACCUUGACGAAGGAAGGAUGGUCUUGUCAGAUACUAUACAAAUAGUGUACCAAGCGUGAUCUCACAAACCAACCAGUGUGCGAUUUUGCGAGCUUGAGCUAUAUCUGGAACUAGAAGAAAGACCCAUACAUGGUCUUGUCAGAUACUACACAAAAGUCCUAACGCAAACACAUAAAGCAGUGUUUAAGCUUUUGAUCUAUAUGCUUUCUUACUUCUCAUAUUAUAAAAAUGUACCUCUACCAUGACAUCCACAACACGAGGCGAAUUUACUGAUUCUAUGGGCGAGAAGAGGGUGAUUUAAAAAAAAAAAAAGAAUCUGCUAUUACCGGAUCUUAAUUUACUUGUAGGGAUUUCAUGGGCACCUGAACUGCAAACAACAGCAGUUGUCCGCUAUCUCUAUCCCCAAAAAAAUUGAAAAAGAAUUUGAUGGCAAUUGAACUUUAAUCCUGAUCAGUAGUAACUUGGCCAAAUAUAUCAGGACAUGACUCCCAAUUUCCCUGUUGCCUGGCCUCCCAAUAUCCGCCAAUAUAUCGAUAUGAAUCACUUCCUUUAUCUUUUGCAAACCAUCGUGGCUUCCAACCCCUCUCUUGCAUCUUCCGGGCCUGGCGUUGCCGCUGCUCGAGUCUCAGUUUCUCUGAAUUUGCCAUUUCGAAUUCACCAUUUUCCAAGUAUCUUUGAUCGGGCCUAAGCCUAGAAUCUGUAGGCGGCAGCUUUUCCUUAAGUCCUGGGGUGAGUUCAUUCAAUGUCAUGGCUAAGCGUGUCAAGUUAUAUCUGGUGGGAAA
rnacentral:misc_RNA from 1 species